rnacentral:rRNA from 1 species
UGAGGAAUAUUGCACAAUGGGCGAAAGCCUGAUGCAGCGACGCCGCGUGGAGGAUGAAGGUUUUCGGAUUGUAAACUCCUGUUAAGCGCGAAAAAAGGCUCAUUUUUAAUAGAAAUGAGAGAUGAUUGUAGCGCUAAAGAAAGCACCGGCUAACUUCGUGCCAGCAGCCGCGGUAAUACGAGGGGUGCAAACGUUAUUCGGAAUCACUGGGCGUAAAGGGUGCGUAGACGGCAAAAUAAGUCAAUUAUUAAAUCUCCUAGCUUAACUAGGAAUGUGUGAUUGAAACUGAUUUGCUUGAGGAUGGAAGAGAGAAGUGGAAUUCUCGGAGUAGCGGUAAAAUGCGUAGAUCUCGAGAGGAACACCGAUGGCGAAGGCAGCUUCUUGGUCCAUAUCUGACGUUGAGGCACGAAAGCGUGGGGAGCAAACAGGAUUAGAUACCCCUGUAGUCC